AAGAACGCAAGGUUUUGCCGUUUUCUGGAAAAAAAAAUGAGAUGCUUUUGACCUACUGUACCAAAAAUUGUUUACGCAGGUGAUGUUAUGAGAACUGAGACAUAUUGACUUCUUUUUACUUUUAGGAUCAUGUGCGAAAAAAAUGUAAAUUGCGUCCAUUACCAUGUCCAUACAAGUGCGGCGCUUUAAACCUGAGAGACGAGGAGAUGCAGGAUCAUCUUGAAACAUGUGUACGCUACCCAGUGAAGUGUCCAAACAACUGCAAAGAAGUGAUUCCUCGUGAAACGGUCUCAAGUCACAUUGAAGACUAUUGUCCCUUGACCAAAAUCCCGUGUUCAUAUGAAUGGAUGGGCUGCCGCAAAGAGGUAAAAUGUUUUGGCUAAGUUGAAUACAGCCACGUUAUGACAUUUCCCAAACGCCAAGGCAAGCUCUUUAGAGGAUUGGUUUU